GCCCUCGUGGCGGAAUUGGCAUACGCAGGAGACUUAAAAUCUCCGGUUCUAGGACAUGUGGGUUCAAGUCCCACCGAGGGCACAA
rnacentral:tRNA from 3 species